CCCUUGUACACACCGCCCGUCACGCCAUGGAAGUUGGGAGUGCCCGAAGUCCGUGACCGAACCUUCGGGGCGGAGCGGCCGAAGGCGAGCCUGAUGACUGGGGCG
rnacentral:rRNA from 1 species